CAACAGGGCUUCUGUCGUGAGUGGCACACAUAGAGCCCCGCAAUUGCUCUUUAUGCAGAAUCAACAUCAAGGGAUUUCAGAAGUAUAAAUUUUGUAGCUAGAGCAGCUGUUCAUCAUUGGUCGUGGCACUCUU
rnacentral:snRNA from 1 species